GACAGAGGGUGCAAACGUUGUUCGGAUUUACUGGGCGUAAAGCGCGUGUAGGCGGCUUGGCAAGUCGGAUGUGAAAGCCCACGGCUCAACCGUGGAAGCGCAUCCGAAACUGCUUCGUUCGAGUCUCGGAGAGGAAGGUGGAAUGCUUGGUGUAGAGGUGAAAUUCGUAGAUAUCAAGCAGAACACCUGCGGCGAAGGCGGCCUUCUGGACGAUGACUGACGCUGAGACGCGAAAGCGUGGGGAGCAAACAGG
rnacentral:rRNA from 1 species